rnacentral:rRNA from 1 species
CUACGGGUGGCACCAGUGGGGAAUAUUGCAUAAUGGAGGAAACUCUGAUGCAGCAACGCCGCGUGGAGGAUGACACUUUUCGGAGCGUAAACUCCUUUUAUAUAGGAAGAAGAUGACGGUACUAUAUGAAUAAGCGCCGGCUAGACUCCGUGCCAGCAGCCGCGGUAAUACGGAGGGCGCAAGCGUUACUCGGAAUCACUGGGCGUAAAGAGCGUGUAGGCGGAUUAAAAAGUCAGAAGUGAAAUCCUAUAGCUUAACUAUAGAACUGCCUCUGAAACUCUUAAUCUAGAAUAUGGGAGAGGUAGGUGGAAUUUCUGGUGUAGGGGUAAAAUCCGUAGAGAUCAGAAGGAAUACCGAUUGCGAAGGCGAUCUACUAGAACAUUAUUGACGCUGAGACGCGAAAGCGUGGGGAGCAAACAGGAUUAGAUACCCCCGUAGUC